GGGAAGUGUGGACAUGGGUGUGGACAGGGGAGUUGGGGAUGACGAUUGUGGACAAGAGAUGUAUGUACGUGGAUGCAUUCGACAAAGGCAUGGAUGGGAGGACUAUGGAGGGCAUGUCUGUGGAGUUGAGCAGCAUAUUUGAAGACCCGUACAUGUCCAAUGUUCAUAUGAUUUGAUAUUUUUGCUGUUUUUUUUUGUUUCUUUAGUAAUGGCAAAAUCGUAAUUAUGGUCAUCUUCUUCUUCUUCCAAAUUGUUUUACUUCGUCUGCAACACUUUCAUGGCCGACCAUAGAAUAUUGUCACAAUAAAUCAAAAAAUCACGUUGUUCAUGUUGUUUUUGAGUUAAACU
rnacentral:lncRNA from 1 species